rnacentral:rRNA from 1 species
CCUACGGGAGGCUGCAGUGAGGAAUAUUGGUCAAUGGGCGGAAGCCUGAACCAGCCAAGUAGCGUGCAGGAUGACGGCCCUACGGGUUGUAAACUGCUUUUAUACGGGAAUAACGCGCCUUACGUGUAGGGCUUUGCAUGUACCGUAUGAAUAAGGACUGGCUAAUUCCGUGCCAGCAGGCGCGGUAAUAAGGGAGGUCCGGGCGUUAUACGGAUUUAGUGGGGUUUAAGGGAGCGUUGGCCGCAUGGCAAGGGUGCUGUGAAAUGUCCGGGCUCAACCCGGGCCGUGCAGCGCGAACUGGCGUGCUUGAGUCCGCGGAAAGCAGGCGGAAUUCGUCGUGUAGCGGUGAAAUGCUUAGAUAUGACGAAGAACCCCGAUUGCGAAGGCAGCUUGCUGCAGCGGAACUGACGCUGAUGCUCGAAAGCGCGGGUAUCGAACAGGAUUAGAUACCCGGGUAGUC